AGUGAACGCUGGCGGCAGGCCUAACACAUGCAAGUCGAACGAACCUUUCGGGGUUAGUGGCGGACGGGUGAGUAACACGGGGGAACGUGCCUUUAGGUUCGGAAUAACUCAGGGAAACUUGUGCUAAUACCGAAUGUGCCCUCCGGGGGAAAGAUUAAUGGCCUUUAGAGCGGCCUGCGUCUUAUUAGCUGGUUGUUUGAGGUAAUGGAUCACCAAGGCGACAAUCAGUAGCUGGUCUGAUAGGAGGAUCAGUCACAUGGGGACUGGGGCACGGCCCAUACUCUUCCGCGAGGGAGGAGUGGGGAAUGAUGGGCAAUGGCUGAAGGUCUGAUGCUCCUAUUUCGCGUGAAUGCGGUGGCUGUUGGGAGUGUAGAAUCGUUUUAUCGGGGACGAUAUUGACGGUACCCGGAGAAGAAGCCCCGGCUAACUACGUG
rnacentral:rRNA from 1 species